GGCCGCGUAGCACAGUGGUAGUGUAUUCGGCCCGUGACCGAGAGGUCGCCGGUUCGAAUCCGGCUGCCGUGUUGCCG